AUGGGUUCAAGCUAUUGAGUAUAUGGGUAUGGUAUAGAUUAAGUGGGUAUAUAUGCAUUGGAAUUUAAUUGGGAAUAUUUGGAGGCUUGUUGGUGAUCAAAACUUAGUUUGUGGCUGUUUUACUUGAGCUUGGAGGGGCUGUAAUUUUGUGUUGAGAGGUUGCCUUGGGUGAAUUAAGUGAUCGGCCAAGAUGCAGGUCGAGAGGCUCCUCACUAGGCGUCUGGAUCCUGGGAAGUGAAGUAGUCCUUGGGUGUAUUUUGGUUUUCUAUUUGUAUAUAUGUAUAUAUGUAUUUAGCUUAUUCUCCAAGUAACGUAUGUAUGCUGCUCCUCUUAGAAGUUCAGGGAGAGAUAGGAGUUUAUUUUAGUAUUUUGGUGUAUUUUAGGGAUACCUAUGUAUGUUCAUAUAUAAAUAUAUAUCCUCUGGCCAGCCUUAGCUUC